rnacentral:rRNA from 1 species
AGCGAACGCUGGCGGCAUGCCUAACACAUGCAAGUCGCACGGGGGGGCUUCGGCCUCCCAGUGGCGGACGGGUGAGGAACGCGUAGGGACCUGUCGAGGGGUGGGGGAUAACCGCGGGAAACUGCGGCUAAUACCGCAUGACGCCGCGGCGUGACAGCCGGGGCCAAAGGCGAAAGCCGCCCGCCGAGGGGCCUGCGUCCGAUUAGCUGGUUGGCGGGGUAGCGGCCCACCAAGGCGUCGAUCGGUAGCUGGUCUGAGAGGGUGAUCAGACACACCGGGACUGAGACACGGCCCGGACUCCUACGGGAGGCAGCAGUGGGGAAUAUUGGACAAUGGGCGCAAGCCUGAUCCAGCAAUGCCGCGUGGGUGAAGAAGGUCUUCGGAUUGUAAAGCCCUUUCGGCGGGGACGAUGGUGACGGUACCCGCAGAAGAAGCCCCGGCUAACUUCGUG